UGUCUGCUGAUGUACAAAUUUCAUUUCUGUUUUGUUCUAAAUAAGCAGCAUUACCUUUAGCCUAGUAGGUGCUUCAUCUGGGAAUGCACUCACGACUGCUUGGCAUUUAUUAAUAAAUGAGUGGGACGGGGUCACCUCCUUUGUAAUUGCAAAUCUGUCAACUCUUAUUUUCAACUCCCUUCUUUUGUUCCUCUCACUCCAUAGACUGCUGGACACCCUUCUUGUACCUUGGCGCUAGCUGGAUGACAGGACCUUAUCAUGAUCAGUGUAUUCCCUGCCUAUGUCUACAAGAACCUUCACGCGUGGCCUGUGACAGCAAGCUUUUGUGGGCAGCCAGUUCUCCUACGAAGGCUGGCCUGCUCUGGCAGCGGCGGCAGUCAUCUUCAAGAUUUAUCCAUGGUCACCUUUGCUGCUAUUUGUCACUCUUGUUAAUUACACUUCCUGCAUCUUUUCUAAUUUAUUAGGUAAUAAAGUAUGACUAUGUGACAUGGUGUGAA
rnacentral:lncRNA from 1 species